AAUUCCCCCUACAACUCAGUUCACUUAUAUUAAGACAAAGUACAUUGUACAUCUGGGUAAUCAGUAAUUGCUUAAGCUUGUGACACGAAAAUAUACUGAAUUCCUUAUCGAACAUUCUCUCACCAGAGGGCGCGCUACGCAAGCUGUUGUGGAGCAUAGCGUAACGCCCUCUGGUGAGAGAUUGGUAAAUCGAAGUCGAAGUACCAUAUCUACUUUGUCAUCAAUGUGACAUGUGAAAUAACUAUAUGUAUCACUAAUAACUGUCUUCAAUGUUAUCAUUUUUGCUACAUGUAUGGGAGCAAAUUUCUUGUACUGAUUUCUAUCUGCAGCGUAAAACCACGGUACAGCUUCGAAGGUGGACUGAAGGUGCAGUUCGAAGUUGCCCUCUCGCUCAGCACGAAACAUGUGGAGCAGAACAUCUCCGGUUAGAAAAUUAUCCCAGUAGCUAGGCAACUGUUUCGGAUUGUGUUCUUCUAUAAUUCCGACUUCACGGAACUCUUCUAUGGUUGUCGUACGAGCCACUACCUCCUUCCGUGGCUGAUUCUGGUGCCUUUACUGCAUAUUUUAGGUUCGAUUUACUGUGCCCUACAAGCCUUAUGAAAAGAUACAGGAUAAUCGCUGGCCAGAAUUUGGUCUUUGAUGGGUAAAAGUCUCUUGGCGAGAUCAUCUCUACGUACCCCACAGGUGUGAAUUAGGGACAGUAGGCCGAUUUCUGAUGGAUUUUUUCACAACUUGGCCAGUCAAUUGCUUUAGAUAUAUGAUACAUUGCGAUGAGCAGUGUUUCUUCAGAGGAGGUUCUCCGAGCUCCAUGACUGUUACACUUUAAAGUCCAUCAGCCCAGUCUGAAAUAAACUGUUAUUUACUACUUAUAGUUGUUACAAAUCUGUGAAAAGUGUACACCUUAUUCAAUUGAAUAACACGGGAGGCAUUGUUUUCAGCGCUUCACAAACUUUCACAUACAACUGCAUGUGCGUUUGUAAGACAGCUACAAAUAUAUCAAUAUGAACAUAUGUUACUAAAAAUCCACGAACAUGCAAAGUCAAAAUGAUUAGCCUAAAUUUUGAUUUAAAACUGUUACUUAUACAGUGCCACAUGGUACCAUGUAACACAGAACCCUCUGGGUAUUGUAUAUAAACUCACAUGUCCUAAUUUGUGCUAAUUCAUGUUGUUGUGCAUAUAAUAAUUAACCACUUUAGUUUUGAUAUAAUUACCAUAGAAUAACCUUUGUACAAUUUAUACAAAUUCACAAAAUUUUUAACGAUUUCUCAAAUUUGAGGGGGUGGGUAACAUUUCGCAGUCUUACAGCCUAAUGAAUUAUGCCAUACAUGCAAACUAUAUGUGGUAGAGCAUCCUUACCCGUCUGGAAUAAUAAAAUGUUUAAUUUAUAUUAUUACAUGUGUUCAGUGUUUUUAAUUUUACGAUAAAUAAUAUCAGCUUAAUAUGUGCAAUAAAUACACAAACAGGUUUCCAUAGUUGGUAUUGAACAACUUUUAAUAUUUGAGUAUUUCCCUUAUGGCCAGCUAUAGUUUAGGUUGGUUACGGAUUGUUUUUCAUGGUUCAUCGGUUCGUUUCUUAAUUAUUGGUCACAUGACAGUUCUUGGUCAGUGUAAGAUUCAGUUUGAAUUUAGAAAUUGAAUUGGGCAGUUGUGUCAUACUUUAGUUGAAAACUUUGGACAUUUGGACUUACAGACUACAAUCUACUAAUCAGGUCAGUUACUAAUUAUGUUAAGGAUUUUAUGCAUAGAGUGAGUGAGAGUAAGAGUAGUAUGAUUAUUUUAUUUCUAUUUAUUUCAUAAUGAGUGUAUUGCUUCAGAAAUCUGAGUAAUAUAUAUGUUUGUAUUAAUUGAUAGAUAUACACCAGAUCUACACAUUACUAUAGAUCCAUCCGGAUUCUAAUACCACAUAUUUGAAUCUUUUGGAUGAUAUUUAUUGGAUAACAUUUGGAUGAUCUGUGAAUGAUGUUAUUCUGAGCGAUUGUGAUAAAUAAACCUUGUGACCGGUA